rnacentral:misc_RNA from 1 species
AUUAGAGUUGAUUUCAUCCAUUUCAACCGAACAGCAAAAUAGAAACAGGAAAUACAAGAGCUAUUGUUGCUGUCCGGUUGAAAUGGAUGAAAUCAACUCUAAUCGUUAGAGCCAACCAGCAACAUCCCUGGCCUCCUUCAACCGUUAUUGAAUGCUCCCAUUACCCCCAGUCAAAACUAGCAGUUGAAUGAAAGGGUAGUUGAUUGAGAUUUCAUUCCUUGGUUAAGUUUU